CGUCGCCGCCGCCGCCGCCGCCGCCGCCGCCGCGGCCCCUCUGGGAACUCCGUGCCGCGCGGCCCCGCGAGGCGGGCGCCGAGGAGGUCCUGAUGGAGCUGGAGUUCUGAGCCUCCUUACCCUCUUCCUUCUAUUACUUCUACCUCACUGGGAGUAUAGAUCAAAAUUAUUUUGGGGGAUACAAAAGAAUAACAACUGGUGAAAUGAAGUCUCAGUAGCAAUUUAAGAAAAAAAGAAAGAUGCUAUUGUAGCGCUUUGAGAGAAGCAAACAUGAUGCUUUCCAUUCCUGCUUUUUCUCCAAGUAUAAGAGCAAUUGGCAAAAAAAAAAAAAAAAAAAAAACUUGAGAAAAUAAGGAGCCCAGGAAGCUGGGUGAUGUUAUUAUAUAUAAGGACAGAAGUUCAAGCCUCCAGUCCUCAACUAUAGGAGGAAGCUUCAUGAGCAAUGAAGCAAUGCUGCAGCCACAAAGUUAUAGAUGCUACCAUGAUGCCAACCUGACUUCCCUGGACAGAUGACCUCACCAAUAUGUCCUGGAACCUCACCUCUCCAGAGCUCUACCCCACUAGGGAAAGAUAGAAACAGGCUGGGAGUAUGGAUCAACCUGCCGACACCCAUUUUCAGUGGGGGAAGCAAUUAUAGAAGCCAGAAUUUCAUCAUCUAUACCCCAUAAUGAUCCUGGGCCCAUACUCCCAGAGGAAUAAAUAAAUAAAUAGAAAAGUCUACAAUAGAGGGGAUGAGAUGCAGAACUCUGAGGGUGGGAA